rnacentral:lncRNA from 1 species
AUGCCAUCUUCUAGUUGGUUUGUUAGAAUCAGGGUACAGAAUAUAAUGACAAGAUAUGAAUUUAUAUUAGUAAGUUCGAUAAGAUUUAAUUUCCUCAGUGAACGGAGAAUCUCAGCCCCGUGGGCUCUAGUUGAUUGGGACUUGUAUAGAGCGUGGUCACAGUUGAAUCCAACUGGACUGUAUGCUGUGGUCUCACUCAUGGUGUGGAUUAUUUACACUGUCACACACUCUACAUGGUGGAUCAGUUGGAAGGUUCUUCGUCUGGUUUAUUUAGACCUGACCUAAUUGAUCGUUUUACCAUAAAUUGAAUUAAUAGUGAAAGCUCUCUUUUAGGUACUGUUUCUACCUAAAAUUAAAGGUAUCACAAAAUGUGUAUAAUAAUUUUUAAAUGAAUUUUCUGAAUUUAUCUUUAGACAAGGUAAUUCUUCUUUUGAAUUCUAAAGAAAUGCAGUUCUUGGAGUUGAUGAGAGGUUGAAUUAUAGAUGGACAACUUAGAGAAUGUAUUCCAUUUUCAUAUAAAUGGUCUUUCAUAAAACAUAUAUCUAUGCAGUUUAUAUAAAUUACAUGAUUUAUUAUUUGAGUCUAUGUAUUUUGACCUCAGAACUAUCUCUGGGCUACAGUAUUACCAAAGUGGGAUGCCUUUAAAAUGCAGUCAGACUUCAUUUGUGUGAAGUAGAAAAGAACUUGGGAAACCUUUAAAAAUAUAUAUUGUGAUUUACGCUUUAAGAAAGUGCAUACUUUUUUCUAAUGAAGAGUAGUUCAUAAUAUAUAAGGGUUUUAAGGCCGUGAAAUAAUAGUAGUGCUUACUCAUUGCUCUCUCAUCUUGCCUCCAGUCAGAUGUUAUUGGUAUAGUGAAAAGAAGACCAGAUUGUGAACUAGAUCUGGAUUCUCUUCUUAGUUACUCAGGCAUGUUAUUUAACCUUCUCUGUGCCUUAGGUUUUAAAGUACAAUCAGUGUACCCUUCAAACCUCACAAGAUGAGACUCAGAAGAGAUAAUGCAUUUGGAAGCAUUCUUUGUGGCUUAUGUUAGGCCACACCAGUGUUACUUUUGAAGUUCUGUUUUGUUCUGUUGUUUUCUGUACAGAGCGUUCAGUUUACUCAGGCUGAAUGUUUUCUGACAUAUAUCUCCAGUAUGAAUUUGUUUAUUUUAUGUAAGGAAGAGUUUUUCAGGAAGAGAAAGUAGAGAAGAAAAGAAUGAUGUAACUAAAUCAAAAAAGAAGGAAAAGAGAGGAAGUGAGAAAAGGGGUGAGGAAAGAGAAAGGAGUAAGAAUGGGAAUGGCAAAGGGCAGAGGAAGAGAAAAGAUGGAAUGCGUGUAUGGAAAAUUGAGAAGUAGAGAUGGAGAGAAAUGGUGUGGAAACUUACUUUUUGAGUUGUAGCCCUCAUGCUACAUCCGUUUGCUUGCCUAGGCUCUCUGGGGUCAGGAAAGGUGCUGACUUCCAUGGAAUGGGGCAGCAGGGCCUGCUGUAUUUGGUUUGUUAGUACUAGAGUUGUCUCCCAAUCACCCAACUUACUGAUCAUUUAGUCCCAAUUCAACAUUUUGUGUGUGUGUGUGUGUGUUUUAUUUUAAAAUUUUUAUUAUUUUUAUGUUUUAUUUUUUACUGGAUCCCAGUUUGUGAGCUAGGACCUGUGGAAAUACAAGUAUCUUCCUUUUUAGCGUAAUCGUUUUAUCUAUCCCAAGUGUUAGACUGCAAGACUAACUACAUAUUCCCCAGUGGAGGUUGGAAGUGGAGGGGACUGCUUCAUUAGGUCU